rnacentral:rRNA from 1 species
GCAAGUCGAGCGGUAGAGAGAAGCUUGCUUCUCUUGAGAGCGGCGGACGGGUGAGUAAUGCCUAGGAAUCUGCCUGGUAGUGGGGGAUAACGUUCGGAAACGGACGCUAAUACCGCAUACGUCCUACGGGAGAAAGCAGGGGACCUUCGGGCCUUGCGCUAUCAGAUGAGCCUAGGUCGGAUUAGCUAGUUGGUGGGGUAAUGGCUCACCAAGGCGACGAUCCGUAACUGGUCUGAGAGGAUGAUCAGUCACACUGGAACUGAGACACGGUCCAGACUCCUACGGGAGGCAGCAGUGGGGAAUAUUGGACAAUGGGCGAAAGCCUGAUCCAGCCAUGCCGCGUGUGUGAAGAAGGUCUUCGGAUUGUAAAGCACUUUAAGUUGGGAGGAAGGGCAGUAAAUUAAUACUUUGCUGUUUUGACGUUACCGACAGAAUAAGCACCGGCUAACUCUGUGCCAGCAGCCGCGGUAAUACAGAGGGUGCAAGCGUUAGUCGGAAUUACUGGGCGUAAAGCGCGCGUAGGUGGUUAGUUAAGUUGGAUGUGAAAUCCCCGGGCUCAACCUGGGAACUGCAUUCAAAACUGACUGACUAGAGUAUGGUAGAGGGUGGUGGAAUUUCCUGUGUAGCGGUGAAAUGCGUAGAUAUAGGAAG